UGAGAUAAUAUAUGGUCUCUCGUCCCUUGGGGCCCGAUUGAUACAAAAAAUCUGGGGAAUUUUCCUUUCCGUCCUUAUCUUCUUCCAACUGAGCAGCAAGCUUUCAUCUCACUCAUCUUCUUCUUCGAGUGUUUAAAACGUCUUCUCAACCACAAUCAUCAAUUCUGCAUCGCAUCGGCGUUUUCCUCUACACCGGUGCCGUCUGUUGUUGUGUUCUCUUGCUGAUAAACCGUAGUUUCGCGAGGAUGAUUCUCUCACCGUGAAAUCCAGAGAUAACGGUGACGACGAAUCUGAUGACGGUAAUUGUGAUGACGGACGAUUGCGGAUCUGAUGACGACAGAAAGGAACACGGCGAAGUUAAGGUAGACGUCGAAGUUGUCGAUGCAGCUAAAGAUUCUUGCAACCAUACCACAUGCGGCAAAAACACCAAAGUUAAGAAUUGCUUUUGUUGUUCCUACAACAAUAAGGUUUGUUUCCCGACCAGAAAAGGGUGUGCAAUUUGGUGUCCAACUCGAUAAGCUACAUCAAGGAUUUAAGAAAACCCGAAUAACGAUUUUAUUUAAUUAUUCCUAAUAUCUACUUUUGUUUUAUAUGAAAAACAUGCUCAUCUGAAGACCAAAAAAUACAUAUGCAUAUUGUAUUUGUGUUUAGAAACUUUCAUAUGUUAUUCUAUAUAAUGCACAUAAGUUAAACUUA